rnacentral:rRNA from 1 species
CUCACAAGAGGUAUCGGGAAAGUUUUUCGCUAUAGGAUGAGGCUGCGGCCUAUCAGCUAGUUGGGGAGGUAACGGCUCACCAAGGCUAUGACGGGUAGCUGGUCUGAGAGGAUGAUCAGCCACACUGGAACUGAGACACGGUCCAGACUCCUACGGGAGGCAGCAGUGGGGAAUUUUACACAAUGGGCGAAAGCCUGAUGUAGCAACGCCGCGUGGAGGAUGACGGAUUUAGGUCUGUAAACUCCUUUUAUAGGGGAAGAAAUUUGACGGUACCCUAUGAAUAAGCGCCGGCUAACUCCGUGCCAGCAGCCGCGGUAAUACGGGGGGCGCAAGCGUUACUCGGAAUCACUGGGCGUAAAGGGAGCGUAGGCGUUCUAUUAAGUCUCGAGUGAAAUCCCGCAGCCUAACUGCGGAACUGCUCGGGAAACUGAUAGAAUAGAGUAUGGAAGAGGUAGGUGGAAUUUCCAGUGUAGGGGUAAAAUCCAUAGAUAUUGGAAGGAAUACCAGAAGCGA